CUCUCCAACGAGUCGAAAACAGAAGAUUGAUACGACGCCGUUUAGCAGACGAAGACUGAAAUGGACGAGGAGCCCAUGUCCGAUUUCGGACCCUACGGGAGAUUGGUAGAAGACGGCCCCCACGAUGGUGGGCCCCAAGUGCACCAAGAUUCUGUGCCUCCAAAACCUACCAGUUCCAGAUACUCCUGCUGGUGGUCCAAUAUCGCUCCGCUCCUCACUUUCGUCGCCCUUUUGCUCUUCCUCGUCAUCAAAUGGUCUGCCCUCGUGUCCUUUUCCAAGAUUGCUUUGAAAAUUUCAAGGAUAUAUGUAAGUACUUCUUUGCAAGAUACAUUCUUGAAUACCUGCAUCUAUCGAGAGGAUUCAAGAGAUAUAAGUAAACUGCUUCAAACAUGUUCCUUCGUUCGUGUCCAGGAAGCAAUAGCCAUUCAUUACACCUUGGAUCCAUUAUCGUCCUGAUCCCUAUCUCGUUUGCAGAAUGUAAACCCACUUAUCAAAUGGCUUGCGGUAAAUUUCAGUCCUUUAGAGCUAGCAGCGGCGAUAUUUGCUUCUUUGGCAUUGUUCCCUGCUGCUCUUCUGGAAUCUACGCCAUCCUUGUGGAUUGCAGGAAUUGUUUUUGGGUAUGAGCUGGGGUUCCUAAUAAUCAUACCUGGGAUAGCUGUGGGCGUGACAUUACCAUAUUUCAUUGCUUAUCCCUUCCGCUCUAAGAUCCAAAGAUUGGGGUUUAGAAUUCCAAAAGACGCUUCCAUUGUAAGACUAGCCUUCCAAGGAAAUUGGUUUCAACAGUUUUGUACGGUUGUCUUCAUUAGAAUUUCACCAUUUCCAUAUUGAAUGUUCAACUAUAUUGCAAGUGCCACCAACAUCAAGUACAGUGCUUACCUGGUAGGGUCAUUAGUCGGAGUGGUGCCUGAUAUUUUUGCUGCAAUCUACAGUGGGAUUUUGAUGAGGAACUUGGCAGAUGGGACAAAGGAUCAGCACCCCAUUUCACUGUUGCAGAUCAUCAUCGAUAGUAUUGGGUUCUGCUCAAGCUAUACUGCUAUGCUGAUCAUUGGAAGGCAAAUCAAAAGGCUAGAGGAUGGAGAGGUUAAACAACUAAAAGAGGCAGAGGUACAACAGGCAGAGACACAAAGGGAAGAGGAUCCAGCACAAUAGAUAUAGAACUCACUAGGUUCAGUUUUUACCUACACCCGGUUCAUGGUACUUAGGGCUGAUCAGCCAAGCAAGUGCCAUGUCUAACAGGACAGGCAUAUCAUUCAUCUGGAUAGUAAACAUAUGUCUAUAGGUGACAAACACACAUGUAUCGUGUUUUGGAUGGAGAUAACAAGGAGAUCAUAUAGCAAUAAAAACCUUGUCCAGCAACUGGAUUUACAAUA